CAGUCGCCGCGGUAAUACGGAGGGGGCUAGCGUUGUUCGGAAUUACUGGGCGUAAAGCGCACGUAGGCGGCUUGGUAAGUUAGAGGUGAAAGCCUGGAGCUCAACUCCAGAAUUGCCUUUAAGACUGCCGAGCUAGCAGGUGAGAGAGGUAAGUGGAAUUCCGAGUGUAGAGGUGAAAUUCGUAGAUAUUGGGAAGAACACCGGUGGCGAAGGCGGCAACCUGGCUCAUUACUGACGCUGAGGCGCGAAAGCGUGGGGAGCAAACAGGAUUAGAUACCCGGGUAGUCCCUGUCUCUUAUAC
rnacentral:rRNA from 1 species